UACGUAGGUGGCAAGCGUUGUUCGGAAUCAUUGGGCGUAAAGCGCGUUCAGGCGGUUUGGCAAGUCGGGCAUGAAAUCUCUCGGCUCAACCGGGAGAGGUUGUCCGAUACUGCUGGACUUGAGGGCAGUAGAGGGUGGUGGAAUUCCGGGUGUAGUGGUGAAAUGCGUAGAUAUCCGGAGGAACACCAGUGGCGAAAGCGGCCACCUGGACUGCACCUGACGCUGACACGCGAAAGCUAGGGGAGCGAACGGG
rnacentral:rRNA from 1 species